GAUGAACGCUGGCGGCGUGCCUAAUACAUGCAAGUCGAGCGAACAGACGAGGAGCUUGCUCCUUUGACGUUAGCGGCGGACGGGUGAGUAACACGUAGGUAACCUACCUAUAAGACUGGGAUAACUUCGGGAAACCGGAGCUAAUACCGGAUAAUAUUUCGAACCGCAUGGUUCGAUAGUGAAAGAUGGCUUUGCUAUCACUUAUAGAUGGACCUGCGCCGUAUUAGCUAGUUGGUAAGGUAACGGCUUACCAAGGCAACGAUACGUAGCCGACCUGAGAGGGUGAUCGGCCACACUGGAACAGAGACACGGUCCAGACUCCUACGGGAGGCAGCAGUAGGGAAUCUUCCGCAAUGGGCGAAAGCCUGACGGAGCAACGCCGCGUGAGUGAUGAAGGUCUUCGGAUCGUAAAACUCUGUUAUUAGGGAAGAACAAACGUGUAAGUAACUGUGCACGUCUUGACGGUACCUAAUCAGAAAGCCACGGCUAACUACGUG
rnacentral:rRNA from 1 species